UUUGUUCUCUGCAAUCCGCGCACGCAGCUCAUCGGUGGAUGGACGUCUGCUCGGCGUCGCAAUGCGGCCUGCGUCAUUUUUUGGUGUUCGCGCAAUCGGUGUGAAGCAUGUCGCAUGUGAAAUGUUUGGUAGAAGUGCCUCACGUCCAAGUCAAGCCGCCGUACGGGUGUAUGGCUGUGCGCCCUGUUCUCGGAAGCGUCAACGGCUUUCCGGCAUGCGGAUUUCAGCGUUUGGACUCGACUUUUGGUGAGGCUGUCGAUCGACCUUGGGCCUGGUGACAGCACACCCGACAUCGCCAAAGUGCAGCCUAUCAGUUGAGUGCCCCCGAAUGGACCAUCAACAUCGGAAACUGAAGCAGAGCCAGGGGGAAAAAGCUCCGGUAACACCAUGCAUUCAGUAUGGUGGCCCAGACGUGUAUGCAAGCAACCUCCUUCAUGUGGACCAAGAACUACUCUGCAGUGUCUCACAGACUUCCAUGCGAAGCCCUCAACAUUCUCGUCUCAGUGGAAUGGCUGCCCAUCUGUCUGCGUGUCCAUCACCAAGACGGCUAGUUGUAAAGCUCCUGUACCCGUUUAGGAAAGCUUAAUGAUUUUUUUUAUUUAGUUUUCACGGUUGGCCGUAGAAUCUUAACAUUUUUGAUGUUUCUAACGUUUUUACCUGGCACAAAGUGGCGCAAUAACUUUAAACCAGUGUAAUGUAUUUAAGUGAUGCUCACUCUAAUGCCUAUCUGGUUUUGUUUGUGUUUAAGAAAUUUGAAUGUCUGAUGAGGUAACAGCAUUUAAAUUUGUCAUCGUGGCUUGUUUCAAUGAGCUGCUAGGAAAUCAGAUGCAAAACUUAUCACAUGCCAGUUGUAGCAUUUUUGUAUUCAUGACUAAAGUAUACACGUUUCAAAAGAUGGAAAGUGGGGAAAAAAAGCCUCAAGAACAUAAUCAUCCUAGGAUUGUCAUGUCCUUACAACUCUGCAAUGACUAAUGCCUCAUGCAUCUUGGGAGCACAAUGGUCGCAAUGCCUACAGGUAUACUUGAUAAGAGACUAGCUUGCAAAAAUUUAGUUGAGAGUUAGCGCUCAUCCUGUCUGCUUCUAGUCUGUGUCCAUGCCACUUCGCGCUACAAUCCAAGAUCAUGUUACUGUACCAACUCGCCCAACUUUUUAUCCUUGUGUUAAAGACACACUCAGACUUGUUCUUACUUAUGUGACCGGUUAUUUUUGUGCUUUAUAAUAAGAUGCAGUGCUUUUCGAAUGAAAACGUGAUAUUUAGUAGUGAGGUUAUUUAAAAAAACUGUUCUGCUUAAAAUUUAAUUGAGCAAGCCUGUGCCAUUAUUCGGUGCUUAUGUCUUUGUAUUGGUAUGGUUUUACUCAUCUUCCUUUUUACUUUUAAAAUGUGCAAACAUUAUUAUGUAACCAUUUCUCUUGAAUGAAAUAAAUACUUCUGACAUUUCGUCACAAA